UCCUACGGGAGGCAGCAGUAGGGAAUCUUUCACAAUGGGCGAAAGCCUGAUGAAGCAACACCGCGUGAAUGAAGAAGGGUUUCGGCUCGUAAAAUUCAGUUGCUAGAGAAGAACGUACCAAGUAGGAAGUGGCUUGGUAGUGACGGUAACUGGUUAGAAAGUCGGCUAACUACGUGCCAGCAGCCGCGGUAAUA
rnacentral:rRNA from 1 species